GAUGAACGCUGGCGGCGUACCUAAUACAUGCAAGUUGAGCGAACAGACGAGGAGCUUGCUCCUCUGACGUUAGCGGCGGACGGGUGAGUAACACGUGGAUAACCUACCUAUAAGACUGGGAUAACUUCGGGAAACCGGAGCUAAUACCGGAUAAUAUAUUGAACCGCAUGGUUCAAUAGUGAAAGACGGUUUUGCUGUCACUUAUAGAUGGAUCCGCGCCGCAUUAGCCAGUUGGUAAGGUAACGGCUUACCAAGGCGACGAUGCGUAGCCGACCUGAGAGGGUGAUCGGCCACACUGGAACUGAGACACGGUCCAGACUCCUACGGGAGGCAGCAGUAGGGAAUCUUCCGCAAUGGGCGAAAGCCUGACGGAGCAACGCCGCGUGAGUGAUGAAGGUCUUCGGAUCGUAAAACUCUGUUAUUAGGGAAGAACAAAUGUGUAAGUAACUAUGCACGUCUUGACGGUACCUAAUCAGAAAGCCACGGCUAACUACGUG
rnacentral:rRNA from 1 species